UUACUCUGAGUGAUUUCCGUUAAGGAGAUCUUUUGGCACCUCUAAAAAUGGUGCAGAAUAAGGGGUGGGCAAGUCUGGUGUCAGCCGCCGCGGUAAUACCAGCACCCCGAGUGGUCGGGACGUUUAUUGGGCCUAAAGCAUCCGUAGCCGGUUCUACAAGUCUUCCGUUAAAUCCACCUGCUCAACAGAUGGGCUGCGGAAGAUACUAUGGAUCUAGGAGGCGGGAGAGGCAAGCGGUACUCGAUGGGUAGGGGUAAAAUCCGUUGAUCCAUUGAAGACCACCAGUGGCGAAGGCGGCUUGCCAGAACGCGCUCGACGGUGAGGGAUGAAAGCUGGGGGAGCAAACCGGAUUAGAUACCCGGGUAGUCCCAGCUGUAAACGAUGCAGACUCGGUGAUGAGUUGGCUAUAUGCCAACUCAGUGCCGCAGGGAAGCCGUUAAGUUUGCCGCCUGGGGAGUACGGUCGCAAGACUGAAACUUAAAGGAAUUGGCGGGGGAGCACCACAAGGGGUGAAGCCUGCGGUUCAAUUGGAGUCAACGCCGGAAAUCUUACCGGGGGCGACAGCAGAAUGAAGGUCAAGCUGAAGACUUUACCAGACAAGCUGAGAGGAGGUGCAUGGCCGUCGCCAGCUCGUGCCGUGAGGUGUCCUGUUAAGUCAGGUAACGAGCGAGACCCCUGCUUCUAGUUGCUACCAUUAUUCUCAGGAGUAGUGGAGCUAAUUAGAGGGACUGCCGUCGCUGAGACGGAGGAAGGAGGGGGCUACGGCAGGUCAGUAUGCCCCGAAACCCUCGGGCCACACGCGGGCUGCAAUGGUAAGGACAAUGAGUUUCGAUUCCGAAAGGAGGAGGCAAUCUCUAAACCUUACCACAGUUAUGAUUGAGGGCUGAAACUCGCCCUCAUGAGUAUGAAUCCCUGUACC
rnacentral:rRNA from 1 species